rnacentral:rRNA from 1 species
GAUGAACGCUAGCUACAGGCUUAACACAUGCAAGUCGAGGGGAAACGAUAGAGAAAGCUUGCUUUUUCUAGGCGUCGACCGGCGCACGGGUGAGUAACGCGUAUCCAACCUGCCCAUCACUUGGGGAUAACCUUGCGAAAGUAAGACUAAUACCCAAUGACGUCUCUAGAAGACAUCUGAAAGGGAUUAAAGAUUUAUCGGUGAUGGAUGGGGAUGCGUCUGAUUAGCUUGUUGGCGGGGUAACGGCCCACCAAGGCGACGAUCAGUAGGGGUUACAAGAGGAAGGUCCACCACAUGGGAGAUGAGACACGGUCCAAACUCCUACGGGAGGCAGCAGUGAGGAAUAUUGGGCAAUGGACGAGAGUCUGAACCAGCCAAGUAGCGUGCAGGAUGACGGCCCUAGGGGUUGUAAACUGCUUUUAUAAGGGAAUAAAGUGGGAGUCGUGACUCUUUUUGCAUGUACCUUAUGAAUAAGGACCGGCUAAUCCCGUGCCAGCAGCCGCCGUAACAC